rnacentral:rRNA from 1 species
GUGACUGCGUACCUUUUGUAUAAUGGGUCAGCGACUUAUAUUCUGUAGCAAGGUUAACCGAAUAGGGGAGCCGGAGGGAAACCGAGUCUUAAUUGGGCGUUAAGUUGCAGGGUAUAGACCCGAAACCCGGUGAUCUAGCCAUGGGCAGGUUGAAGGUUGGGUAACACUAACUGGAGGACCGAACCGACUAAUGUUGAAAAAUUAGCGGAUGACCUGUGGCUGGGGGUGAAAGGCCAAUCAAACCGGGAGAUAGCUGGUUCUCCCCGAAAGCUAUUUAGGUAGCGCCUCGUGAAUUCAUCUCCGGGGGUAGAGCACUGUUUCGGCUAGGGGGCCAUCCCGGCUUACCAACCCGAUGCAAACUGCGAAUACCGGAGAAUGUUAUCACGGGAGACACACGGCGGGUGCUAACGUCCGUCGUGAAGAGGGAAACAACCCAGACCGCCAGCUAAGGUCCCAAAGUCAUGGUUAAGUGGGAAACGAUGUGGGAAGGCCCAGACAGCCAGGAUGUUGGCUUAGAAGCAGCCAUCAUUUAAAGAAAGCGUAAUAGCUCACUGGUCGAGUCGGCCUGCGCGGAAGAUGUAACGGGGCUAAACCAUGCACCGAAGCUGCGGCAGCGACACUCAGGUGUUGUUGGGUAGGGGAGCGUUCUGUAAGCCUGCGAAGGUGGCCUGUGAGGGUUGCUGGAGGUAUCAGAAGUGCGAAUGCUGACAUAAGUAACGAUAAAGCGGGUGAAAAGCCCGCUCGCCGGAAGACCAAGGGUUCCUGUCCAACGUUAAUCGGGGCAGGGUGAGUCGACCCCUAAGGCGAGGCCGAAAGGCGUAGUCGAUGGGAAACGGGUUAAUAUUCCCGUACUUGGUGUUACUGCGAAGGGGGGACGGAGAAGGCUAUGUUGGCCGGGCGACGGUUGUCCCGGUUUAAGCGUGUAGGUGUGUGUUCCAGGUAAAUCCGGUUCACUUUAACACUGAGGCGUGAUGACGAGGCACUACGGUGCUGAAGCAACAAAUGCCCUGCUUCCAGGAAAAGCCUCUAAGCAUCAGGUAACAUCAAAUCGUACCCCAAACCGACACAGGUGGUCAGGUAGAGAAUACCAAGGCGCUUGAGAGAACUCGGGUGAAGGAACUAGGCAAAAUGGUGCCGUAACUUCGGGAGAAGGCACGCUGACA